GGAGGGGUACCGAAGUGGUUAAACGGGCCUGACUGUAAAUCAGGUGGCCACGCCUUCGGUGGUUCGAAUCCACCCCCCUCCACCA
rnacentral:tRNA from 1 species